UAAACGGCCGCGGUAUUCUGACCGUGCAAAGGUAGCAUAAUCAUUUGUUCUCUAAAUAAGGACUUGUAUGAAUGGCCACACGAGGGUUUUACUGUCUCUUACUUCCAAUCAGUGAAAUUGACCUCCCCGUGAAGAGGCGGGGAUAAAUCAACAAGACGAGAAGACCCUAUGGAGCUUUAACUAAGUAACUCAAGGAAAAUAAAUUCAACCACCAAGGGAUAACAACACUCCUUAUGAGUUAACAGUUUCGGUUGGGGUGACCUCGGAGAACAGAAAAUCCUCCGAGCGAUUUUAAAGACUAGACUAACAAGUCAAACCAAACCAUCGCUUAUUGAUCCAAAAACUUGAUCAACGGAACAAGUUACCCUAGGGAUAACAGCGCAAUCCUAUUCAAGAGUCCAUAUCGACAAUAGGGUUUACGACCUCGAUGUUGGAUCAGGACACCCCGAUGGUGCAACCGCUAUCAAAGGUUCGUUUGUUCAACGAUUAAAGUCCUACGUGAUCUGAGUUCAGACCGGAGUAAUCCAGGUCGGUUU
rnacentral:rRNA from 1 species